AGCAAAAUGAUGAUUUUUAUAUUUUAGUAACUGAACUAAAUGUGGAAUUAAAUUGGUCUUCAAAGUUCUCUGAUUGCU